UACGUAGGUGGCGAGCGUUGUCCGGAUUUACUGGGCGUAAAGAGCGUGUAGGCGGCCAAACAGGUCCGUUGUGAAAACUGGAGGCUUAACCUCCAGACGUCGACGGAAACCGUGUGGCUAGAGUCCGGAAGAGGAGAGUGGAAUUCCUGGUGUAGCGGUGAAAUGCGCAGAUAUCAGGAAGAACACCAAUGGCGAAGGCAGCUCUCUGGGACGGUACUGACGCUGAGACGCGAAAGCGUGGGGAGCGAACAGG
rnacentral:rRNA from 1 species